UACGUAGGGGGCAAGCGUUGUCCGGAUUUAUUGGGCGUAAAGAGCUCGUAGGCGGUUUGUCGCGUCUGCUGUGAAAACCUCAGGCUCAACCUGGGGCUUGCAGUGGGUACGGGCAGACUAGAGUGCGGUAGGGGUGACUGGAAUUCCUGGUGUAGCGGUGGAAUGCGCAGAUAUCAGGAGGAACACCGAUGGCGAAGGCAGGUCACUGGGCCGCAACUGACGCUGAGGAGCGAAAGCAUGGGGAGCGAACAGG
rnacentral:rRNA from 1 species